GAUCAUCAGGCACUUUGUACAUAUCAGCUGUUAUUUCUGUCAACCAUAAACCUGGAAAUAUCAUAUCUAAAUUCUUUUGAACCAAUCUGGGUCGUUUCUUGGGAAGACGAGGGGGUCGAUGUCCGGCCAUGGCCAUGAAAUCUUCAUCGAUUUCUCGUCGGGAAAGAGGAACGGAAAACUUGACCUUUUGUUUCUUCUCGCCGACUGAAGCAGCUCCGGCAGAUGGAGCAUUUGUUCUGUUAGUAUCAAUCUUUAACCCACCUUUCGAUCCACCACCAUUUCCACCGGCAACAGCACCGGCGCCGGCGACGAAUCCAUUAGGCUCCUUACAAGCAGCUCGGCGAGUCCUUAAGUUCCAUGGACGAGAUAAAUCAGCAGCAGCGUCAGAUGCAGCUCCAGUCAUAGUUGUCGCCGGUGCCGG
rnacentral:misc_RNA from 1 species